AAACAAAAUGGCAGAGUAGUCAUGUUAUGGACUGAAUGUCUGUAUCUUCCCCCAAACUCAUGUGUUGAAACCUCUCCCAUCCCCUACCAAUGUGAUGGCAUUAGGAGGUGGAGCCUUCAGGAAGAUUCGAUGAGGUCACAAGCAGGAAGGCCUUUAAUGGGAUUAGUGUCCUUAACAAGAGUCACCAGAGAGCUGUGCUUCCUCUAUCUGCUCUCCGCCUUGUGAGGGUACAGCAAGGAGCUGGCAGUCUGCAGCCUGGGAGGGGGUCCUCACCAGAACCUGACCGUGCCAGCACCCUGAUCUUGGACUUCCAGCCUCCAGGAGGGUAGAGGCGACGGUGAAAUGGAACACACCCCAGGUUGGGAGUCCCAAGGCGGGACCCCGCUCUCAGCACCACCUCUGUCUGGCUGUGUGACGUGAGGUUUCUGGGAGUGGAGCAGCCAUCUUGUGACUAUGAGGGUAGUGCCACCUGCUAAGGAUGGCAGAGCAGGGAGACUGAAGAAACUUCUUUGUAAUCAGUCCUCUCUAGCAGCCUGGAUUGCCUAGACUCCUUGUCA